rfam:Triticum aestivum genome assembly, contig: Triticum_aestivum_CS42_TGACv1_scaffold_621471_7DS
CUUAUACUCCCUCCGUCCCAAAAUUCUUGUCUUAGAUUAGUCUAGAUACAGAUGUAGCUAAUACCAAAACGUGACUUGAUACAUCCGUAUUUAGACAAAUGUAAGACAAGAAUUUCGGGACCGAGGGAAUAUUUC